rfam:Felis catus isolate Cinnamon breed Abyssinian chromosome B1, whole genome shotgun sequence.
GCCUGGGUGGCUCAGUUGGUUGAGUGUCUGACUUCAACUCAGGUCCUGAUCUCAUGGUUCAUGAGUUUGAGCCCCACCUUGGGCU